GACAGAGGGUGCAAACGUUGUUCGGAAUUACUGGGCGUAAAGCGAGUGUAGGCGGUUUCCUAAGUCAGGUGUGAAAGCCCCGGGCUCAACCCGGGAAGUGCACUUGAAACUGGGUCGCUAGAGUAUCGGAGAGGUUGGUGGAAUUCUCGGUGUAGAGGUGAAAUUCGUAGAUAUCGAGAGGAACACCGGUGGCGAAGGCGGCCUUCUGGACAGUGACUGACGCUGAGACGCGAAAGCGUGGGGAGCAAACAGG
rnacentral:rRNA from 1 species